UUUGCCUACACCAUCUGUUUCAUCGAUGCAAAGUGAUCAUGUUGUCGGGUUAGGAUUCGGGUCGCCUUCGGAUUUAAGUGAUAGCUCUUCUGACGAUAAUCAGCUUGCAAAUGAUCCGGUUCAAUUCAAGGCAUACAGGUCGUAUAUUGAUCCCAGAGGCCAAGGUGAAAGUAGAAUGAACAUGAGGUCAAGAAGCCCCGAUCCGGGUCGAGAUGGCCGACCAGCCCAACAUCACCUCUUCAUCAUCAAUUGUCUGCAGUGAGUAUCGAGUCUCCUACAGGGAGAAAGGAAGAAGGGAAAUCUGUGUGUCAUAAGUUGCCUCUUCCACCAGGUUCUCCCACUAGUCCCUCUGCUUCCUUUCCAAGCAGUAGCAGCACAAGAGCUUGUGUAGUGAGUGAAACUACACCUUGUACUCUAUCAAAAUGGCGAAGAGGUAGACUCUUAGGGAGGGGAACUUUUGGACAUGUUUACCUUGGAUUUAAUAGGUAGGACUUGCAUCUUGUAUCGAUUAAUCAUCACAUGCUGUGAGUCAUAAAGUCAUUUAGAUUUACCGAUCACAGAAAUUAGCUGUUGUGAUGCAUUCAUUGUAUUAGUUCUGCUAGUAUGCAAGAUCGUCAGUAUGUUUUUAGCUUUUUCCCAUUGUACUUCUCUGAGUAUUGUGCAUUCAUGAUCGACAGUUAAAGUGGACAGAUUUGUGCAAUAAAAGAAGUCAGGCUCGUAUCUGAUGAUCAGACAUCAAAAGAAAGCCUAAAGCAACUGAACCAUGAGAUUAAUUUGCUGAGUCAGCUAUCUCAUCCAAACAUUGUUAGAUACCAUGGAAGCGAUCUGGGUGAAGAAGCACUCUCAGUUUACUUGGAAUAUGUCUCUGGUGGUUCAAUCCACAAAUUGCUUCAAGAAUAUGGUGCCUUCAAGGAACCUGUUAUUCAAAACUAUACAAGACAAAUUCUUUCCGGGCUUUCUUACUUGCAUGGAAGAAAUACAGUGCACAAGGACAUAAAAGGGGCAAACAUAUUAGUAGAUCCUACUGGUGAAAUCAAGUUGGCAGACUUCAGCAUGGCAAAACAUAUAACAGCUUGUGGUGCAAUGCUUUCAUUCAAGGGAAGUCCUUACUGGAUGGCACCUGAGGUUGUAAUGAAUACAAAUGGCUACAACCUUGCCGUGGAUAUCUGGAGUUUGGGUUGCACUAUGCUUGAAAUGGCAACAUCAAAACCACCAUGGCAUCAGUAUGAAGGGGUGGCUGCAAUAUUUAAAAGAGAAAAUC